GAAAUGCGAUAAGUAAUGUGAAUUGCAGAAUUCCGUGAAUCAUCGAAUCUUUGAACGCACAUUGCGCCCUCUGGUAUUCCGGGGGGCAUGCCUGUCCGAGCGUCAUUGCGAACCCCUCAAGCACGGCUUGUGUGAUGGGCCCUCCCGCGUCUUGGUCGUCAAGACGGGCCCGAAAUGCAGUGGCGGCUUCGCGGUUAUCCGAUCAGCCAGAGCGUAUGGGGACUUUCUCUCUGUCACACGCCCGCGGCGCGGACCGACGCCUGUCGACCUUCAUUCAUCGUUUUCUCGGUUGACCUCGGAUCAGGUAGAGAUACCCGCUGAACUUAAGC
rnacentral:misc_RNA from 1 species